rnacentral:rRNA from 1 species
GUGGGGAAUAUUGGACAAUGGGCGAAAGCCUGAUCCAGCUACGCCGCGUGGGUGAUGAAGGCCUUAGGGUUGUAAAGCCCUGUCGGAGGGGAAGAAGUACUGACGGUACCCUCCAAGAAAGCGCCGGCUAACUCCGUGCCAGCAGCCGCGGUAAUACGGAGGGCGCAAGCGUUGCUCGGAAUCACUGGGCGUAAAGCGCACGCAGGCGGCUCGGUAAGUCGGGUGUGAAAUCCCUGGGCUCAACCCAGGAACUGCAUUCGAUACUGCCAAGCUUGAGUUCGGGAGAGGGUGGUGGAAUUCCUGGUGUAGAGGUGAAAUUCGUUGAUAUCAGGAGGAACACCGGCGGCGAAGGCGGCCACCUGGCCCGAUACUGACGCUCAUGUGCGAAAGCGUGGGGAGCAAACAGGAUUAGAAACCCGUGUAGUCC